AUAAUCUGACGUUGAGAUGAAAAACAGGUGUGCAGGUAGAUGAAUGAUUGGAGGAAUGCCCGCUCUGCCCUACUCCACUCCAGUAGGGCAGGUAAACUCAAACAGCGUGGAAUGGAGCGAAUAGCUAUACCAAACAAGACAGCAAUCCUUACGGAUAUCACCGGGAAUGGAAAGGUGCUGUGGACAGACUGAAAAGUGGAGCACUUGUUGAAGAAGUCCUGUUUGUCGGAUGUGCUUUUCAAAGAGAUCUGCAUCAGUACGAGACAAUCAGAGCAACUGGAAAAUGUGAUGUGAUUUGCAAAGGAAGAAGGCCUCAAGAGGGAUUCAGCACAAAGGUUGUCGUAUCUUUAAGGAAGAAUAAUGUGCUGGCGAAUCCAGCAGACCUCGAGGAUGAGCACCUGUAGUUCAAGGGCCACAGACAGAGAACAAGGCUGAAUUGUUUUAGAGAGCGAGUGAGGCCAAACAGACAGGAAUCCGUGAGUCUGCAGCUCCGGUCCUUGGAUGUGUUCGACAACUCUCAGUGGAGCUCAACAUAAUUUUUCCCUGGGUCUGCCUGGUGAUUCCUGUUUAUAUUGUUUAGCUUUGCUGUAUUUGUCGUAGGACACGAAGAAAUUCUUCCUCAACAUUCAAUUAGUGUGGAGUUUGAGUUAUUUGGUUGGAAAUAGGAUAUCUCCUGUAGGAAAACAAACAUUUAAAACAUUUAAUUAAUAUUUAUAACUGAAUGAAAUUUGUAGUAAUGGUCACACAAAAAUAACAAGAAAGAGAGAAAUGGAUCCUGUUCUUGUCGCAAACAAUUGCUGACUUGAAUUUCAACUCAAAAAAACUGAAUAUUUCCAAUAUACUUCAGUCUAGACAAAUUGUUCGAAAGACCAAAAGUAGUCAAUGAGCACCAUGGCUUUUACGUGUUUAUAAAUUGGAUUUUCAUUGACACUGGCUGAUAUGAUCAUUUAAACAAAUAUACAGUAUAACACGGUGAAGUGCCAAGUGUUAGAUUCACAGUUAGAAUAGAUAAACAUCUCAGCUAAAUAGGCUUGUAAACUUGCUUUUAAAUAUGAACAGGCAGUAUUGUACUAUAUGCUAAUGAUGUUGUGAGCUAAAUGCUAAUAGAAUGCUAACAUGCUCACAAUGUUAAUGUUAUAAGGCUGAUUUUUUUCCAGGUAUGUUUACCAUCUUAGUUUGCUGUGUUAAUAUGCUUUAUGUUAUUUACCAAUAAAAGCAAAACAUGAAGUGCAGCUGACACUGAUGGGAGUUUUUAGUUGAUUUUUGUUUAGUUUUGCGGUUAUUUGAUCAUAAUUUUUUGGAGCACCAGCAGAAACAAGUUGUGCACUCAGCACUGUGUAUACUGUGUCAUAGGCCUGUAUUCCUUGUGUUCACACAAACUGAUAUGUGGUUACUUCUUCCUGUCUGAGUUGAUGUUGUUACGUUGGAGUAGAAGAGACAAAUGGCUGAAGAUAGAUUACAACACUGCCACCUAGCUGUCAGGGGUUUAAAUACAACAACUUGAAUUACUUCCAUGAAUCUUUGCAUUUAAACUGUUUAGAAAAAAAUUGAUCGUGUUUUUGAGAAUUUAUGUAGUACGACACAACAUAAUAUCACAGUACUGCCAUUCAGCAGUUACAGUAAUAUCAUCGUUCAGGUGGAGUCAUGUUUGUGUUCACCUGAAGAAAAUUCAAUAUUCACUCUCUUUCAGCUCUGAUUUUGUCUCCACUGACUCCUUAGGGAAAUGAUUGUCUUUUUAGCUGCUAAGUGCUCCAAUUAUUUCACCGGCCUAUUCAUGACUUUGUCUCUCUACAUUUUGCUAUGAGCAGGUUAUUUAUUUAUUGAGCUUUUGGAAAAAUGACGCUAUCUCUCCCUCAUAGAUGUCAUGGUAAUCCAACUGAUAGUUGUUGAGAUAAUUCUGGACACUGAAUCAGAACUGACAAGCCCACCAGCAAACUGGAUGUUGCAUUUUCAAUAAAUGGCUCUUUUUUCGAAAUCCUAUUAAACUAAGCUUCAUCUUCUCUGUUGAGUAAUAGUGAUGCGCAGUCACACAGAUUUUAGAGAAGUCUUCCUUUUUUGCAGUGUAAAUCCUCAGUUUUGAAAGUGAUGCAGUAAAUUUAAAAGAAGAGAACCUGACUAUGAGACAGCCAGAAUGAGGUGACACAUUUCCCUGUUAGAAACCGUGGCUCCUAAGCCCAGAAUUUGCAUGGCCUACGUCUCAUUGAAAAUCCAUAAGCAUAGCAUGUGUCACAUCUGCAUGCAUGCAGGAGUCCCCUCAUCUGUUACAGAAUCUCCUGGGGCUGCCUACAGU